rnacentral:rRNA from 1 species
CCUACGGGCCGCAGCAGUGGGGAAUAUUGCACAAUGGGCGCAAGCCUGAUGCAGCCAUGCCGCGUGUAUGAAGAAGGCCUUCGGGUUGUAAAGUACUUUCAGCGGGGAGGAAGGCAAUAAGGUUAAUAACCUUGUCGAUUGACGUUACCCGCAGAAGAAGCACCGGCUAACUCCGUGCCAGCAGCCGCGGUAAUACGGAGGGUGCAAGCGUUAAUCGGAAUUACUGGGCGUAAAGCGCACACAGGCGGUCUGUCAAGUCGGAUGUGAAAUCCCCGGGCUCAACCUGGGAACUGCAUUCGAAACUGGCAGGCUAGAGUCUUGUAGAGGGGGGUAGAAUUCCAGGUGUAUCGGUGAAAUGCGUAGAGAUCUGGAGGAAUACCGGUGGCGAAGGCGGCCCCCUGGACAAAGACUGACGCUCAGGUGCGAAAGCGUGGGGAGCAAACAGGAUUAGAUACCCCCGUAGUC